AAUCAGUCUAUGGACUGGAUAUUUUAAAUCCCCUCCUUUGUUUAUUGUAUUUAAAAUUGAUCUAAAAUACUUCUCAG